UAAUACAUGCAUGUCGAGCGGGAGUAGCAAUACUCUAGCGGCAAAUGGGUGAGUAACACGUGCUUAAUCUACCUUUUAGAUUGGAAUACCCAAUGGAAACAUUGGUUAAUGCCGGAUAAGUAUGAAAUCGCAUGAUUUCGUUAUGAAAGAAGCGUUUGCUUCACUAAGAGAUGAGGGUGCGGAACAUUAGCUAGUUGGUGAGGUAAUGGCCCACCAAGGCUAUGAUGUUUAGCCGGGUCGAGAGACUGAACGGCCACAUUGGGACUGAGAUACGGCCCAAACUCCUACGGGAGGCAGCAGUAGGGAAUAUUCCACAAUGAGCGAAAGCUUGAUGGAGCGACACAGCGUGCACGAUGAAGGCCCUCGGGUUGUAAAGUGCUGUUGCAAGGGAAGAAAAAGCAGUUGAGGAAAUGCAACUGAACUGACGGUACCUUGUUAGAAAGCGAUGGCUAACUAUGUGCCAGCAGCCGCGGUAAUACAUAGGUCGCAAGCGUUAUCCGGAAUUAUUGGGCGUAAAGCGUUCGUAGGCUGUUUAUUAAGUCUGGAGUCAAAUCCCAGGGCUCAACCCUGGCUCGCUUUGGAUACUGGUAAACUAGAGUUGGAUAGAGGUAAGCGGAAUUCCAUGUGAAGCGGUGAAAUGCGUAGAUAUAUGGAAGAACACCAAAGGCGAAGGCAGCUUACUGGGUCUAUACUGACGCUGAGGGACGAAAGCGUGGGGAGCAAACAGGAUUAGAUACCCUGGUAGUCCACGCCGUAAACGAUGAUCAUUAGUCGGUGGCCAAUCACUGACGCAGCUAACGCAUUAAAUGAUCCGCCUGAGUAGUAUGCUCGCAAGAGUAAAACUUAAAGGAAUUGACGGGGACCCGCACAAGCGGUGGAGCAUGUGGUUUAAUUUGAGGCUACGCGGAGAACCUUACCCACUCUUGACAUCCUUCGCAAAGCUAUAGAGAUAUAGUGGAGGUUAACGGAGUGACAGAUGGUGCAUGGUUGUCGUCAGCUCGUGUCGUGAGAUGUUUGGUCAAGUCCUGCAACGAGCGCAACCCCUAUCUUUAGUUACUAACGAGUCAUGUCGAGGACUCUAGAGAUACUGCCUGGGUAACUGGGAGGAAGGUGGGGAUGACGUCAAAUCAUCAUGCCUCUUACGAGUGGGGCUACACACGUGCUACAAUGGUCGGUACAAAGAGAAGCAAUAUGGUGACAUGGAGCAAAUCUCAAAAAGCCGAUCUCAGUUCGGAUUGGAGUCUGCAA
rnacentral:rRNA from 2 species